UACGUAGGGACCGAGCGUUGUCCGGAAUCAUUGGGCGUAAAGAGCGUGUAGGCGGCCACUUAAGUCCUGCGUGAAAUCUUGCGGCUCAACCGCAAGCGGUCGUGGGAAACUGGGUGGCUAGAGUGCGGGAGAGGAGAGUGGAAUUCCUGGUGUAGCGGUGGAAUGCGUAGAGAUCCGGAAGAACACCGGUGGCGAAGGCGGUCUGCUGGGCCAGUACUGACGCUGAGGCGCGACAGCGUGGGGAGCAAACAGG
rnacentral:rRNA from 1 species